GAGUAUGUGUAAAACAUAAGUGCUAGUACACUUCAGAUGCACACUGUGGGCCUAUGAAUGGAUAUAAUUGUAUAAAGACUCAGGGUGGGAGCUGCAAAAAAGCCAAACAGCACUCCACCUGCCUUCCUGGACCAGAACGUUUCUUUACAGGAACAGCUUUAUUGGAUACAGUGUAUAAGGACUGCUCAGAGGAGACAUAUUCUGAUGGUUCAUUUAUGUGCUGCAAACAAAAUACAAAAUGUGAGUCUUUGGGUCAGAUAACAAUCACACAGGGAACACAGUCGAGUGAUGCAGUGUGAAGCCAUAAACCGUCACAUCUGGGCCUCAUCAUUGGGAUUUUGGUGCCGUCUCUAUUGGUGAUGGUCAUCUUAAGCGUUUUACUUUGUAAGGAAACAAGACAAAAUUUAACACACUGUAGGAAUCUUUUUAACUGUUAAGAAACAUUUUAUAUAUAUUAUAUGUAUUUAUAUUUGUGAAUUUGUGUAAUUUCCUACUUAUUUAACACACUUUUAAAUUUCAGAACAAUGCUAGUAAUCUUCAGAUUUAUGAACUGAACCAUGUUUAAUGUUGUCAGGGUGUCAUUUUCAGGACGUGCCAGUUGCU